rnacentral:sRNA from 1 species
AUUUUUUAUGAAAUCAGAUAAAACCCAUUCAUUCAGAACUGUCAAAUUCUAAUUGUAAAUUUAUAAUUUAUGUAUCAUUUUAUUUUGAAUUAUCAUUAGAAUAAUUAUGAUUUUAAAAAUGUCAUAAUUGAGUAUGUAAAGCUACCUUAUUGUCGUUUUGUGCAAAAUUUAGUUUGAUUUUAUGGUUCGUACAAACGACUUUCUUUUGAUUAUCAAGAUUGAAAAAUUUUGUUUCAAUCAGUUUAUUGGUUAUUAAAGUAUAGAAAGGACCAGGCAAGUCUCUGAAACUUUGAUAGUCUUCUUCUUGUUACAAACCUAUUUUUACUUUGUCAUGUAAUAAACAUUUAUAGUAGUUGUAGUACAAUUCAAAUGAAACGGAAAUAAAACACUUGUUUAAGACACUGUAUUAUUGGUUAUAUUUAGAAGCUGAAUGAAAAAAUUAUGCAAAUACAAUUAGAUAAUAUAGUUCAAUCUUCCAUAUUUCUGUAUGAAUGUGUGAACUGCUUCUAAAAUUUCCCAUUUUUAUGAUAAGACAAAGAUUUAUCACCCCAAAGAAUUAAGUGUACAUCAUGAUCAAAUAUUUUUUAAUAUUUAAAUGAUAAAAGAUUAUUCAUAAGGGAUUGUUUUACUAUUGAAUAUUUCUAAACACACACUGAAACAAUACCGCAAAUGAUGUGCAUCUUCUAAGAUUCCACAUAAACACAUUGUUGUAUUGCAUCGAUGAAGAUAAGAAUUAAGAAUACAACUGUACCUUAGUUUUUAUGAAAAAAAUUGCUUUGUAAUGUUUUUAAAAAUAAAAUACUCAAUGAGGUAGACUCUAAUGU